rnacentral:misc_RNA from 1 species
AAGUCGUAACAAGGUUUCCGUAGGUGAACCUGCGGAAGGAUCAUUAACACGUAUCCAACGUUAAAACCCCCCCGUGAACCUUCAGUGUGCUCGUACGCUUUGUUAGAAAGUAGCAAUCCCUGGUAAAUCAUCGCCGAACAGUUUUGAUUCAGGGACUUCUGCGAAGAGUGUGCUUGUAGCGCGAGGCAAGUGGCCUGGCAUCCUUGUCUGAAAGUGUCAAGGGUGGCGCGGUCACGAUCGCUAGAGGCCGACACGGCCGGCGACCGGGUCAGUGAGCUCUGCUCCCGCUGUUACGUCAAAACCCCAAGUUCCCCUCUAGUGAAGCUAUUGGGUUAUAACUAAACGACUGUUAACAAUGGUUAUCUCGAUUCUC